rnacentral:rRNA from 1 species
AUACCCUGGUAGUCCAUGCCGUAAACGUUGGGCACUAGGUGUGGGGGACAUUCCACGUUCUCCGCGCCGUAGCUAACGCAUUAAGUGCCCCGCCUGGGGAGUACGGCCGCAAGGCUAAAACUCAAAGGAAUUGACGGGGGCCCGCACAAGCGGCGGAGCAUGCGGAUUAAUUCGAUGCAACGCGAAGAACCUUACCAAGGCUUGACAUCCACCGGACCGCACUGGAGACAGUGCUUCCCUUCGGGGCUGGUGGACAGGUGGUGCAUGGUUGUCGUCAGCUCGUGUCGUGAGAUGUUGGGUUAAGUCCCGCAACGAGCGCAACCCUCGUUCUAUGUUGCCAGCACGUGAUGGUGGGGACUCAUAGGAGACUGCCGGGGUCAACUCGGAGGAAGGUGGGGAUGACGUCAAAUCAUCAUGCCCCUUAUGUCUUGGGCUUCACGCAUGCUACAAUGGCCGGUACAAAGGGUUGCGAUACUGUGAGGUGGAGCUAAUCCCAAAAAGCCGGUCUCAGUUCGGAUUGAGGUCUGCAACUCGACCUCAUGAAGUCGGAGUCGCUAGUAAUCGCAGAUCAGCAACGCUGCGGUGAAUACGUUCCCGGGCCUUGUACACACCGCCCGUCAAGUCACGAAAAGUGGUAACACCCGAAGC